rnacentral:rRNA from 1 species
UCUCUCUGAAUCUGCGAACGGCUCAUUAAAUCAGUUAUAGUUUAUUUGAUAAUACCUGCUACUUGGAUAACCGUGGUAAUUCUAGAGCUAAUACAUGCACAAAAACCCGACUUCUGGAAGGGUUGUAUUUAUUAGAUACAAAACCAAUGCGGGGCAACCCGGUUUUUUGGUGAUUCAUAAUAACUUCGCGAAUCGCAUGACCUUGUGUCGGCGAUGAUUCAUUCAAAUUUCUGCCCUAUCAACUUUCGACGGUAAGGUAUUGGCUUACCAUGGUUACAACGGGUAACGGGGAAUUAGGGUUCGAUUCCUGGAGAGUGGGCCUGAGAGAUUGUUAG